UACGGAGGGUCCAAGCGUUAUCCGGAAUCAUUGGGGUUAAAGGGUCCGUAGGCGGUUUUGUAAGUCAGUGGUGAAAGCCCAUCGCUCAACGGUGGAACGGCCAUUGAUACUGCAAAACUUGAAUUAUUGGGAAGUAACUAGAAUAUGUAGUGUAGCGGUGAAAUGCUUAGAUAUUACAUGGAAUACCAAUUGCGAAGGCAGGUUACUAUCAAUAUAUUGACGCUGAUGGACGAAAGCGUGGGGAGCGAACAGG
rnacentral:rRNA from 1 species